rnacentral:rRNA from 1 species
CCUACGGUGGCAGCAGUGGGGAAUAUUGGACAAUGGGCGAAAGCCUGAUCCAGCCAUGCCGCGUGUGUGAAGAAGGCCUUCGGGUUGUAAAGCACUUUCAGUGGGGAAGAAAGCCUUGGGGCUAAUACCCUCGAGGAAGGACAUCACCCACAGAAGAAGCACCGGCUAACUCCGUGCCAGCAGCCGCGGUAAUACGGAGGGUGCGAGCGUUAAUCGGAAUUACUGGGCGUAAAGCGCGCGUAGGCGGUCUGAUAAGCCGGUUGUGAAAGCCCCGGGCUCAACCUGGGAACGGCAUCCGGAACUGUCAGGCUAGAGUGCAGGAGAGGAAGGUAGAAUUUCCGGUGUAGCGGUGAAAUGCGUAGAGAUCGGGAGGAAUACCAGUGGCGAAGGCGGCCUUCUGGACUGACACUGACGCUGAGGUGCGAAAGCGUGGGUAGCAAACAGGAUUAGAUACCCCAGUAGUC